UCCUCAUCCCCACACUUGACAGGGCAAUCUUCUUCGUAUUAUGUUACAGCCACCAUGGAUUCAGCUGGGGAAGUUUCCUUUCAUAAAUCUUGGCCAACCUAGUGACCCUGAACCUGGUUCGUACGAAUCAACCUGUUACCCGGGCCUUCAACCCCUGGGUUGGGUGAACACCCAAAAUUUUAUGCUUCUACUAAUAGAAGCCUUAGAUAAAUGAGAACAUCUUUCUGCCCAGAAAAGCCACAUGGAAGUUAUUUUUGAGAAGAAACCCUUCUUUGUACAGGAUAAAAGUUACCCAGUGGAGUGAUCAUGAGAUCUUUUGCUGGUGUUUAUGACGUUCUUUGCUCUUCAUGUUGCUCAAGAAUCAAGAUGGCAUGCUUCUACAGCCGGAUGAAGAUCGAUCGGUUGAAUGCCCUUCCUUACAACACUAUUGUUGUGUGUGGUCCCGCACCAUGUGAUGAGGGGACCACCACAUUAAUCAAGAAGAGAGGCAGCUGGCUGCCUCUUUAAUUUAAAUGUGUCUGCCACUGUAGAAGGCAGACGAGAGAGAGGGAGAACAAAUUUGAACGAGAGAGCAGAGAAAAACCGAGAGAAAGAAAGAAGAGGAGGCAGCAGAGCAGUCUGUCUUCUUUCUUCGAUUUCCAGUUCGUUCACCGUUGGAUCGGGCUGAGAUUUGGACAGCAGCUUCUAGACAUGUUACUCUUCAUUCUGAACGGUUGGAUUGAAGAUUGGUGGUGUGGAAGCUGGUCGUUUUGACAGAAAACGGGGCUGUCAGUGUUUAUCUGAACAGGAUUGCUAUACACUCUGCUGAUGACAAUGCGUCAAACUUUGAUUGGAAAAACAAAUUAAUAUGGUGAAGGCAAGGACCUCGAUCGGUGUUUUCAACUUAGAUGAUCACAGCAUUGAAAGGCUCGAUCUUGAUUGAUGAUUGCAAGGGGAAGUUUUCCUUUCCAUCUUCUUGAAGAAACUAUGAUGCUACCACACCUAGUUCAUGCUUCACUCUUGAUGAAAACGAGCUCAAAUAAGUAGUCCUAGCUAGUUUUGUGAUAAUUGGAUUAUUCGGACCCAUCAUUAGGGUUCUUUUUUAAUUUGUACUGUAAUUUUAUUAGUCUACUCUUUCUUAUUUAAUAUAAUUUUUCUCCGGUCCUUAAACCUGUA